AACGAACGCUGGCGGCAUGCCUAACACAUGCAAGUCGAACGAGACCUUCGGGUCUAGUGGCGCACGGGUGCGUAACGCGUGGGAACCUGCCCUUAGGUUCGGAAUAACUCCCCGAAAGGGGUGCUAAUACCGGAUAAUGUCUUCGGACCAAAGAUUUAUCGCCUUUGGAUGGGCCCGCGUUGGAUUAGCUAGUUGGUAGGGUAAAAGCCUACCAAGGCGACGAUCCAUAGCUGGUUUGAGAGGAUGAUCAGCCACACUGGGACUGAGACACGGCCCAGACUCCUACGGGAGGCAGCAGUGGGGAAUAUAGGAAAAUGGGCGAAAGCCUGAUCCAGCAAUGCCGCGUAAGUGAUGAAGGCCUUAGGGUUGUAAAGCUCUUUUACCCGGGAUGAUAAUGACAGUACCGGGAGAAUAAGCGCCGGCUAACUCCGUG
rnacentral:rRNA from 1 species